UGUAUAAGUGCGCAUUCUUCUAAAGACAUAA
rnacentral:piRNA from 1 species